rnacentral:tRNA from 1 species
GUCACGAUAGCUCAAGUGGUAGAGCAGCGGCUUGUCAAGCCGAAGAUCGUGGGUUCGAAUCCCGCUCGUGCCA